GCUAGUCGCAAACGGCGCAAAGGACCAGCAGUUGCUGGGGGGCGGCGUGGGGGGAGCUGCGGGGCGGGGAGGGGAGAUCCGGGGAGUUCCACCCUGUUGAAUCCUGGCUCCAAACUUUUCCCUCCGUCAGCGCGGUACCCUCCUACCCACCCCGACCCGCUGACGCCGCGAUGCCACAAGGCCGGGACCUGAAGAAAAAAAUGCGUUGGAUGAGGGUGACUGUCGAAGGUAACUACUUGAAGUUGUUAGAAGAGUCUUAUUUAUACAACCAAAUGAGAACUUAAAAGCUCCUUUAACUGGCUUUUGUCUGCAUAUCCUGGUGAAGUUAGGCUGUAGAGAGCUUCGAGGGACUGUUGUUCUGCCAGACACUAGGAUGCCUCUGAGAGAUGGUGGCUCUUAGGAAGAAGACAGCCCCAUAGUGCGUGCCCAGUGAAGGUCUAUGGAAGAAUAAACACGUCCCAGGUAGAGAUGAAACGGUCUUUGGCUCCUACGAACAGAGAGGGACUGAGGCUGGCCCUGGCGUGGAUGCCGACCUCUAGUCCAACCGUGUCCAGGAGGCAGGUGAUGAGACUGUUGCAUCUUGGCAUAGGAGAGCCCAUCGUGUGAGAAGAACGCAGCUCCGGAUGAAACCCUGUUGGCUGGGACCACAAAGAAGCAGCGCUGAAAAACACAAGGAUGCUAUUCCAAGACAAGGACAAGAAGGCCAGGAGGACAUUUCCACCGACGGCUGCCGCAGAGGGGGAAAAACUAAAGCAGGAGGAAAAAUUAACAAGGAGAGAUGCAGAGAAUGAUCCAGUCAGCACAGAAAAGCAGCGCUUAUCCAUUAGUCCCACGGCUGAGCCCUUGGAAAGAGCCUUUGUGUAUCUCAUCCACCUACCUAUCCUUUUUGACCUCUGACACUCACUCUCCAUCACCCACCAACAGCGAUGCUCCAGUAAACUCCAGCUCCUGGUCAUUUCCUACACACACCGUGAGGCUUCCUCUGCCCAAAAUGUGCAUCCCCCAAUGAACUCAUUCAUCAGCCACCAUUUCUUGAUUGUCUCCUUCCUUCCAGACCGUGACUGCAUGACUCCUUCCAUGUAGGGGUCCCAUACCCCUCCUUUUCCUUUAUUUUAGCACAGAUCUCACUGUACUGGGAUUGAUUUUUACAUUUUUUUUUCUCUUCUUUCAUUAAGCUGUGAGCUACUGCCUUCGUAUUUUUCCUUCUUUGAGACCUAGCUCAUAUCCUGACCCACACGGAGAUGCCUCAUGUUCAUGGAGUGAGUGGUUGAGUGUCUUACCAGACAUGAGUGGUCAUGUAACCCACCAUGCCGCCCCUCCAGGGCCUCCUUGAUAAGAUACACAGAACUAAACGUUGCUUCUCUCUGCAACAUCUCAUCCAUUUCCAGUGAGAUGGAACCCCCGCAUCUUUUUUAACUCCUCUUGGCCGGGUUUUUAUUUUUAACUCCCUUCUAUAAUGCUGAUUCAUAGUAAAAGCUACAUCAGUUACUCUUGGAAAUAAGUGUGAGAAAAGAGACUCUACUCAGUGUUCAGCGGCCUACAGUGUAGAUCUUUAUUUUCUCCAACUGCACGAGAACAAUUUCAGUAACUCCCUUUCCAGUAGUAAUUACGACGACUCCUCUCAUGUGAGUUCAGCCCUUUGUGACUUUCACGUCACUUGAGCACCACUGUUUCACAGGCUUGGGUAUUUCUGAUUUGGCCUUACUAGUGAAGAAAUACCAUGUGUGUGAAAUUAUUCAGAUUCUAAUAGAUAACCACUUUCUU